rnacentral:rRNA from 1 species
UGCGUAGGCGGUUUACUAAGUCAGAUGUGAAAGCCCCGGGCUUAACCUGGGAACUGCAUUUGAUACUGGUAGGCUAGAGUAUGAUAGAGGGGGGUAGAAUUCCUGGUGUAGCGGUGAAAUGCGUAGAUAUCAGGAGGAAUACCAGUGGCGAAGGCGGCCCCCUGGAUCAAUACCGACGCUGAGGUACGAAAGCGUGGGUAGCGAACA